ensembl:snoRNA SNORD116 Small nucleolar RNA SNORD116
GGAUCGAUGAUGACACCCUCACAUGCAUUCCUUGGAAAAUCUGAACAA